rnacentral:rRNA from 1 species
GAUGAACGCUGGCGGCGUGCCUAACACAUGCAAGUCGAACGAAGCUUGACGGAUGAUUUCUUCGGAAUGAAACCAGAUAUGCCUUAGUGGCGGACGGGUGAGUAACACGUGAGCAACCUGCCUUUCAGAGGGGGAUAACGGCCGGAAACGGUCGCUAAUACCGCAUGAUGUGUUCGGAUGGCAUCAUCUCAACAUCAAAGAUUUAUCGCUGAAAGAUGGGCUCGCGUCUGAUUAGAUAGUUGGUGGGGUAACGGCCUACCAAGUCUACGAUCAGUAGCCGGACUGAGAGGUUGAACGGCCACAUUGGGACAGAGAUACGGCCGAGACUGCUGCGGGAGGCAGCAGUGGGGAAUAUUGCACAAUGGGGGAAACACUGAUGCAGCAACGCCGCGUGAAGGAUGACGGUUUUCGGAUUGUAAACUUCUUUUCUUAGAGACGAAGACAGUGACGGUAGCUAAGGAAUAAGCAUCGGCUAACUACGUG